rnacentral:rRNA from 1 species
GACGAACGCUGGCGGCGUGCUUAACACAUGCAAGUCGAACGGAAAGGCCCUUCGGGGUACUCGAGUGGCGAACGGGUGAGUAACACGUGGGUGAUCUGCCCUGCACUUUGGGAUAAGCCUGGGAAACUGGGUCUAAUACCGAAUAGGACCACGCGCUUCAUGGCGUGUGGUGCAAAGCUUUUGCGGUGUGGGAUGAGCCCGCGGCCUAUCAGCUUGUUGGUGGGGUAAUGGCCUACCAAGGCGACGACGGGUAGCCGGCCUGAGAGGGUGACCGGCCACACUGGGACUGAGAUACGGCCCAGACUCCUACGGGAGGCAGCAGUGGGGAAUAUUGCACAAUGGGCGCAAGCCUGAUGCAGCGACGCCGCGUGAGGGAUGACGGCCUUCGGGUUGUAAACCUCUUUCAGUAGGGACGAAGCGCAAGUGACGGUAAUGGGAAAAGAAGCACCGGCUAACUACGUGCCAGCCGCCGCAGUAACAC